rnacentral:rRNA from 1 species
GUGGGUAACCUACCCUGUACACACGGAUAACAUACCGAAAGGUAUGCUAAUACGGGAUAAUAUAUUUGAGAGGCAUCUCUUGAAUAUCAAAGGUGAGCCAGUACAGGAUGGACCCGCGUCUGAUUAGCUAGUUGGUAAGGUAACGGCUUACCAAGGCGACGAUCAGUAGCCGACCGGAGAGGGUGAUCGGCCACAUUGGAACUGAGACACGGUCCAAACUCCUACGGGAGGCAGCAGUGGGGAAUAUUGCACAAUGGGCGAAAGCCUGAUGCAGCAACGCCGCGUGAGUGAUGAAGGCCUUCGGGUCGUAAAACUCUGUCCUCAAGGAAGAUAAUGACGGUACUUGAGGAGGAAGCCCCGGCUAACUACGUGCCAGCAGCCGCGGUAAUACGUAGGGGGCUAGCGUUAUCCGGAUUUACUGGGCGUAAAGGGUGCGUAGGCGGUCUUUCAAGUCAGGAGUGAAAGGCUACGGCUCAACCGUAGUAAGCUCUUGAAACUGGGAGACUUGAGUGCAGGAGAGGAGAGUGGAAUUCCUAGUGUAGCGGUGAAAUGCGUAGAUAUUAGGAGGAACACCAGUUGCGAAGGCGGCUCUCUGGACUGUAACUGACGCUGAGGCACGAAAGCGUGGGGAGCAAACAGGAUUAGAUACCCUG